UACGGGGGGAGCAAGCGUUGUUCGGAUUUACUGGGCGUAAAGGGCGCGUAGGCGGCCACCGCAAGUCAGUUGUGAAAUCUCUGGGCUUAACCCAGAACGGUCAGCUGAUACUGCGGGGCUAGAGUGCAGAAGGGGGAACUGGAAUUCUCGGUGUAGCGGUGAAAUGCGUAGAUAUCGAGAGGAACACCUGCGGCGAAGGCGGGUUGCUGGGCUGACACUGACGCUGACAGCGCGAAAGCGAGGGGAGCGAACGGG
rnacentral:rRNA from 1 species